CCCAGAUGGUGGAAAACAAGAGAAGAUCUGAGAAAGUUUGAGUUUUCCUUGAGAAAGUGAAACAUUAGGGGUGCAAAGCAUCGCAGGAAACAUUCUUUUAGUUCAAAGUUUUGUGGGAAUUCAUUUUCCGACAGGAACUCCUGACUUUAUCUGCCGUUUGCCUGAGGGACUGGGAUCUUGUGAUGAGGUGAGCGUGGGGCUGUCGGCUUCAAAUCCGACCUUUCACUUCAGUGUCUCUGCUGUUGUGGGCAAUCAGGCUUUUGGUGCCUGUCCACAUGCUCAGUGUUGAUGGAGGGAUUGUAUUUUUAGACUAUGGACACCUCUGACCCUUUUAACCUUUGGCCUAGAGCUCCACUGUGGCAUCAGGCCCGAUAAUGGAGCACCAGCCUAUCAGAAGAGAUCCAAUGUCUAUAUUCAGCCGCGGUUGUCCACGCACACUCAGGAUUCUGUCUGGCAGUGAGGCUGUGGUGACCUCUGAUGUAUUAUUUUGUUCUCAUCUCCGCUGAUGGUCGGUUCCCUCCUAAAGGGUCACAGGAUCUCCAGAGGCGGCCCCGGCUCCUGUUGGGUGAAGGUGGGGUGCACCCUGGAAAGGUCUUUUAUUUAUUAUCACCACAUAACUUUCACCCUCUGACUGCAGCUCAGAUGAUGUUCAGAAUCUGAAAGUUUGUUUUUUCACAAUAUAAAGUCCAUCAGUUAGGGGUCAGCAUGUUCUGCAAAGCUGUAAUUAUGGGAGUUUCUAUUUUGGCAAAGGACAGAAAGGCGAGUGCAGCCGGACGUCCGAGGAGCACCACAGCAUCCCGGUGGGCCGCGGCCCCACAGCAGCAUCCCGGUUGUGAUCAGGAGCAGACUGUGAGCUUUCUCUGAGCAUAAGCUGAAAACAUGCAGAGUCAGCGGGGAGGUGAAGGACAGAACCAGGGAAGACGGCACGGAUCCCGGCUGGGGGUGACGCCAACGUCCUCCUGGAAGGAGAGCCUCCUGAUGACGGCAGACGGUGGACGGCGCUGGGCAGUUCUGUGACGUCUGCGUUUGUUUGGGUUACAGAGAUGUGCGAUGAUCCCAGUCUGCCACUGGGAAGCUCUUAAAUAAUGUAUUUAGCGGUUAUAGUUUCAGUGUCAAAGGAACCCUCAUUAGAAAUUGAUCAUGUGAUGUAAGAGUUUUAAAUUGGUUUCCUAAGAAUAAAAAUUUUUUAAAAACUUAAAGAAUUUAUAGUUAUUAGCCUUAUGUUUUAUUUCUUUUUUUACAAUUUGCUCUAAUAAGUCUAUUAUUGACAUUUAUUUCUUUCAUAGUGUGUUUUUUAACAGAUAUAUCUGCAUUGUAUGAUGAAAAAAUCAUAAAUAAAUAAACUAAUAAACCUGACACUUUACAAAAAUCACA